rnacentral:sRNA from 1 species
ACCAGGCACGGUGGCGCAUGCCUGUAAUCCCAGUAUCUCGGGAGGCUGAGGCAGGAGGAUUGCAAGUUCAAAGCCAGCCUCAGCAAAAGUGAGGUGAUAAGCAACUCAGUGAGACCCUGUCUCUA